AGAGUUUGAUCAUGGCUCAGAUUGAACGCUGGCGGAAUGCUUUACACAUGCAAGUCGAGCGGCAGCGCGGGGCAACCUGGCGGCGAGCGGCGAAUGGGUGAGUAAUGCAUCGGAACAUGUCCAUUCGUGGGGGAUAGCCCGGCGAAAGCCGGAUUAAUACCGCAUACGCCCGAGAGGGGAAAACGGGGGACCGCAAGGCCUCGUGCGAAUGGGUUGGCCGAUGUCCGAUUAGCUAGUUGGCGGGGUAAAAGCCCACCAAGGCGAUGAUCGGUAGCUGGUCUGAGAGGAUGAUCAGCCACACUGGGACUGAGACACGGCCCAGACUCCUACGGGAGGCAGCAGUGGGGAAUUUUGGACAAUGGGGGCAACCCUGAUCCAGCCAUUCCGCGUGAGUGAAGAAGGCCUUCGGGUUGUAAAGCUCUUUUGUCCGGAGCGAAACGGUGCACGUGAAUAUUCGUGCGCUACUGACGGUACCGGAAGAAUAAGCACCGGCUAACUACGUGCCAGCAGACCGCGGUAAUAUACGUAGGGUGCGAGCGUUAUCCGGAUUCACUGGGUUUAAAGGGUGCGUAGGUGGAUUAGUAAGUCAGUGGUGAAAUCCCCGAGCUUAACUUGGGAACUGCCAUUGAUACUAUUAGUCUUGAAUACCGUGGAGGUCAGCGGAAUAUGUCAUGUAGCGGUGAAAUGCAUAGAUAUGACAUAGAACACCAAUUGCGAAGGCAGCUGGCUACACGAAUAUUGACACUGAGGCACGAAAGCGUGGGGAUCAAACAGGAUUAGAUACCCUGGUAGUCCACGCCCUAAACUAUGGAUACUCGACAUUUGCGAUACACAGCAAGUGUCUGAGCGAAAGCAUUAAGUAUCCCACCUGGGAAGUACGAUCGCAAGAUUGAAACUCAAAGGAAUUGGCGGGGACCCGCACAAGCGGUGGAUGAUGUGGAUUAAUUCGAUGCAACGCGAAAAACCUUACCUACGCUUGACAUGCCAGGAACCUUCCAGAGAUGGAUGGGUGCCCGAAAGGGAGCCUGGACACAGGUGCUGCAUGGCUGUCGUCAGCUCGUGUCGUGAGAUGUUGGGUUAAGUCCCGCAACGAGCGCAACCCUUUUCCCUAGUUGCUACGCAAGGGCACUCUAGGGAUACUGCCGGUGACAAACCGGAGGAAGGUGGGGAUGACGUCAAGUCCUUCAUGGCCCUUAUGUGUAGGGCUUCACACGUCAUACAAUGGUCGGUACAGAGGGUUGCCAACCCGCGAGGGGGAGCCAAUCCCAGAAAACCGAUCGUAGUCCGGAUUGCACUCUGCAACUCGAGUGCAUGAAGUCGGAAUCGCUAGUAAUCGCGGAUCAGCAUGUCGCGGUGAAUACGUUCCCGGGUCUUGUACACACCGCCCGUCACACCAUGGGAGUGGGUUUUGCCAGAAGUAGGUAGCCUAGCCGCAAGGAGGGCGCUUACCACGGCAGGGCUCAUGACUGGGGUGAAGUCGUAACAAGGUAACCGUA
rnacentral:rRNA from 1 species